rnacentral:rRNA from 1 species
CGUUUAUUUGAUAGUGCCUUACUACUUGGAUAACCGUGGUAAUUCUAGAGCUAAUACAUGCUAAAAACCCCGACUUCGGAAGGGGUGUAUUUAUUAGAUACAAAACCAAUGCCCUUCGGGGCUCCUUGGUGAUUCAUGAUAACUAUACGAAUCGCACGGCCUUGCGCCGGCGAUGGUUCAUUCAAAUUUCUUCCCUAUCAACUUUCGAUGUUUGGGUAUUGGCCAAACAUGGUUGCAACGGGUAACGGAGGGUUAGGGCUCGACCCCGGAGAAGGAGCCUGAGAAACGGCUACUACAUCCAAGGAAGGCAGCAGGCGCGCAAAUUACCCAAUCCCGACUCGGGGAGGUAGUGACAAUAAAUACUGAUACAGGGCCCUUUCGGGCCUUGUAAUUGGAAUGAGUACAAUUUAAAUCCCUUAACGAGGAACAAUUGGAGGGCAAGUCUGGUGCCAGCAGCCGCGGUAAUUCCAGCUCCAAUAGCGUAUAUUAAAGUUGUUGUGGUUAAAAAGCUCGUAGUUGAACCUUGGGCCUGGCUGGCCGGUCCGCCUCACCGCGUGCACUGGUCCGGCCGGGCCUUUCCCUCUGUGGAACCCCAUACCCUUCACUGGGCGUGGCGGGGAAACAGGACAUUUACUUUGAAAAAAUUAGAGUGCUCCAGGCAGGCCUAUGCUCGAAUACAUUAGCAUGGAAUAAUAAAAUAGGACGCGCGGUUCUAUUUUGUUGGUUUAUAGGACCGCCGUAAUGAUUAAUAGGGACAGUCGGGGGCAUCAGUAUUCAACUGUCAGAGGUGAAAUUCUUGGAUCAGUUGAAGACUAACUACUGCGAAAGCAUUUGCCAAGGAUGUUUUCAUUAAUCAGGAACGAAAGUUAGGGGAUCGAAGACGAUCAGAUACCGUCGUAGUCUUAACCAUAAACUAUGCCGACUAGGGAUCGGACGGUGUUAUUCAUGACCCGUUCGGCACCUUACGAGAAAUCAAAGUGCUUGGGCUCCCAGGGGGAGUAUGGUCGCAAGGCUGAAACUUAAAGAAAUUGACGGAAGGGCACCACCAGGGGUGGAGCCUGCGGCUUAAUUUGACUCAACACGGGGAAACUCACCAGGUCCAGACACAAUAAGGAUUGACAGAUUGAGAG